UAGGGAAUAUUGGUAAUGUGCGAAAGCGCGAACCAGCAACGCCGCGUGCACGAUGAAGGCCUUCGGGUCGUAAAGUGCUUUUAGAGAGGAUGAGGAAGGACAGUACUUUCUGAAUAAGCCUCGGCUAACUACGUGCCGGCAGCCGCGGUAAAACGUAGGAGGCGAGCGUUAUCCGGAUUUACUGGGCGUAAAGCGUGUGUAGGCGGUUUGAUAAGUUGGAUGUGAAAGCUCCUGGCUUAACUGGGAGAGGUCGUUCAAAACUAUCAGACUUGAGAGUGGUAGAGGGAGGUGGAAUUCCGCAUGUAGUGGUGAAAUGCGUAGAUAUGCGGAGGAACACCAGUGGCGAAAGCGGCCUCCUGGCCCAUUUCUGACGCUCAGACACGAAAGCUAAGGUAGCAAACG
rnacentral:rRNA from 1 species